GACGAACGCUGGCGGCGUGCCUAAUACAUGCAAGUCGAACGCACUCUCGUUUAGAUUGAAGGAGCUUGCUCCUGAUUGAUAAACAUUUGAGUGAGUGGCGGACGGGUGAGUAACACGUGGGUAACCUGCCCUAAAGUGGGGGAUAACAUUUGGAAACAGAUGCUAAUACCGCAUAAAACCUAAACACCGCAUGGUGUAGGGUUGAAAGAUGGUUUCGGCUAUCACUUUAGGAUGGACCCGCGGUGCAUUAGUUAGUUGGUGAGGUAAAGGCUCACCAAGACCGUGAUGCAUAGCCGACCUGAGAGGGUAAAUCGGCCACACUGGGACUGAGACACGGCCCAGACUCCUACGGGAGCAGCAGUAGGGAAUCUUCCACAAUGGACGAAAGUCUGAUGGAGCAACGCCGCGUGAGUGAAGAAGGUUUUCGGAUCGUAAAACUCUGUUGUUGGAGAAGAAUGUAUCUGAUAGUAACUGAUCAGGUAGUGACGGUAUCC
rnacentral:rRNA from 1 species